rnacentral:rRNA from 1 species
UGGGGAAUUUUGGACAAUGGGCGAAAGCCUGAUCCAGCAAUGCCGCGUGUGUGAAGAAGGCCUUCGGGUUGUAAAGCACUUUUGUCCGGAAAGAAAUGGCUCUGGUUAAUACCUGGGGUCGAUGACGGUACUGGAAGAAUAAGGACCGGCUAACUACGUGCCAGCAGCCGCGGUAAUACGUAGGGUCCAAGCGUUAAUCGGAAUUACUGGGCGUAAAGCGUGCGCAGGCGGUUGUGCAAGACCGAUGUGAAAUCCCCGAGCUUAACUUGGGAAUUGCAUUGGUGACUGCACGGCUAGAGUGUGUCAGAGGGGGGUAGAAUUCCACGUGUAGCAGUGAAAUGCGUAGAGAUGUGGAGGGAAUACCGAUGGGCGAAGGCAGCCCCCUGGGAUAACACUGACGCUCAUGCACGAAAGCGUGGGGAGCAAACAGGAUUAGAUACCCUGGUAGUCCACGCCCUAAACGAUGUCAACUAGUUGUUGGGGAUUCAUUUCCUUAGUAACGUAGCUAACGCG